rnacentral:rRNA from 1 species
GAUGAACGCUGGCGGCGUGCCUAAUACAUGCAAGUCGAGCGAACAGACGAGGAGCUUGCUCCUCUGACGUUAGCGGCGGACGGGUGAGUAACACGUGGAUAACCUACCUAUAAGACUGGGAUAACUUCGGGAAACCGGAGCUAAUACCGGAUAAUAUAUUGAACCGCAUGGUUCAAUAGUGAAAGACGGUUUUGCUGUCACUUAUAGAUGGAUCCGCGCCGCAUUAGCUAGUUGGUAAGGUAACGGCUUACCAAGGCGACGAUGCGUAGCCGACCUGAGAGGAUGAUCGGCCACACUGGAACUAGAACACGGUCCAGACUCCUACGGGAGGCAGCAGUGGGAAUCUUCCGCAAUGGGCGAAAGCCUGACGGAGCAACGCCGCGUGAGUGAUGAAGGUCUUCGGAUCGUAAAACUCUGUUAUUAGGGAAGAACAAAUGUGUAAGUAACUAUGCACGUCUUGACGGUACCUAAUCAGAAAGCCACGGCUAACUACGUG